ACGGAGGACCCAAGCGUUAUCCGGAUUUAUUGGGUUUAAAGGGUGCGUAGGCGGAUUUAUAAGUCAGUGGUGAAAUCCUACAGCUUAACUGUAGAACUGCCAUUGAUACUGUAGAUCUUGAGUACGGUUGAGGUGGGCGGAAUGUGUCAUGUAGCGGUGAAAUGCUUAGAUAUGACACAGAACACCAAUUGCGAAGGCAGCUCGCUAAACCGUAACUGACGCUGAGGCACGAAAGCGUGGGGAGCGAACAGG
rnacentral:rRNA from 1 species